rnacentral:lncRNA from 1 species
UUUUUUUGUUGAAAAUUAUACUUACACAUACUAGUAAUAGCCUAUGCAAGCAUUUACUGUUCUUCCAUAAUAUUCAUGUACAAGUGUUCUCUUCUUGGCACCUGGGACAGACAGACAAAGCAUGCUGUACAGUCAUUUCACACUGUCCCUACAGUGCACUUUGUAAUGUCUUGUUUCAGAGAAGUUUGGUGUUUGGUGUUUAAAAGGAUAUGUUUAAAAAGAUAUCAGAAAAAUGUGUUUAAUCUGAAGGAUUAAAUAUGCAAGUGCUAAUAAUGAAAUGUGUCUAGAAUUCAAAUUUAAACAUGAAAGAAUAAACAAGUUCCAUUUGAGCUAAAGACCAAUUUUGUUUUGUAAAUACUCUGUACUGUUUAAUUUGCUCCCAUUGUUUAACAUUUCUAGACUGAGAAAGGAUCCUCAAGAUUUGGCCAGAAACAUUUAAGCAGCUAUGUAUUUAUACCUGAAAAGCAAAACCACUAUGAAUAAAAGUACUGAAAGUUGCAUUUGGGAAGCACAUAAAUUAAUAACUUAUAAAACAUCCAUUAACAUCAAUUUGUUUCAGAGGCAGACAUGUAGCUGCAUAAACUGUCCACAACAUUCUCUGUGCCAGGGAUCCCUGCUCCAUCUGGGGAUGGCCAAAUGCAGUCCCCAAAACAAGCACAGCAGCCUAAAGGUGAUGGGGAUGUAGAGGGGUUAAAGACAUUUUCUAUAUUGCAAUGAACAUUUUCUGGAAAUAUUUUUUAAAAUGUUCAUUUAAAAAGUCACGUUUAUGUUAAUGAAAGUGUUUUUGCAUUUUUCAAUCAACUAUAGCAGGGGAAGUCUGCAUGUGAGCUGUCCAAAUUCAGCAUCUCUCUCAGGCAGCUUCCAUCAAAAUGGCUCCGAUGGCUAGAAUUUAAGAUGCCCCCUCCCUGCAGAACAACUGGUGUGGCUGUCCCAGCAGACACAGGGGGAUGCAAGCUGCAUUCCAAGGGUGAAUCUGGCUAUAUGCUCUAGAGAGGAAGAUAAAUGGAGCAUCUAUAUAAUGGUGAAUGUACUGCAGUGGAAAAGAUGCUCAAACUUUCCCAAACGACAAUACUAGCUAAACUAUAUCAAGGGAUAUAAGAAAUCAGAAAUAAGCAAAAAUAGCAUACAAACUUUGUGCUGAAAUAUGCCAACUUUUUUCCGCCCACAAAAUUGUUCUCUCUGAUGGGAAAAAUUAAAUAGCUAUGUAGAUUCUUCUAUGGUAAAUGUCCCUCAGCAUCCAGGACAAUGUAAACUUGGGAGUGUAUAUCAAAUAAUUAAUACUGCACGUUCCAAAAAAUUGUGUGUAACUCCAUGAAUUGGCAACUGUUUGAAUGGCUGUUCUUAUUUACAAACAGCAGACAAAGAUUUGGGUAUCCACUCAACAGCUUCUGGCUUGAACGUUGCUUCCAAAACAGGAAACUCUAACACAGUGGAAAGUAGUAUGAGGAAGGAAAAGAAAAGAAAAGGUACAGUUCAGUUUUGUGUGGUUUUAUUCUAUUACACGUAAGUCCUCAUCAUUGUAGUAUCUAAGAACCUUCCAAUAGCACAUUAAGCAAUGUGAUUACCAUCUGUCAUGCGUGGUUGGUUCUUCUGCUUCCCCCUCCCCAUCAUUAGAUUUUUAAGGCCUGGGGGGUAGGGGAGGUGGCUAGUCUCACCUCCCUCCUGCAUGACACAGGCCAUAGAAUUUCACCCAGUGCUUUUUCCACCUAGCACAACAAGGUGCGGUGUCUUUUAGAAAGAUUUAAAGCCCCAUCAUCCUCCCUCUCUCACUACUGCUCUUGCCUCCAGUAUUUUUGUCACCGCAACAAGCUAGUAAUGGAAAACCUUCCCAGAGGGUACUGCUUUCCAGUUUGAAAAAGGCCUUCUUGACUGUCAUAUAGGCUAGAUCAUCCACUGAGGCCCACUGCUGGGUAAACAGUGGGGUAGAGUUGCACUAGGCCAGAAAUAGCACUAGAAAGAGCAGAAUGCACGAUGGGGAGUGUGCUUGCUACUACGCUCACUACCCUAUAGCUCACUACCUCAGCACCAGUUCUAUGCAGGCUGGUGUGGAGAGCAGCAAGGUUGUUGCUCUACUUCAUCCUCAACUGCUAUAGAGCACUGUGUGCCUCAGGGGAGUAGGUACAGGAGUAGUCCCUAUGCUGCCCUGAGCUCCAGGGCAGCAAUCCAGACUGGUCCUUGUGAAGGCAACAAAAGGGGUGGGAAAGGGUCCUAACAGCCCUAUGCCCUUGACCAGGCUGUGCACUUGCAUAAAAGGUGGGCACGAACUGACCCAUAGUGUGGCACUGUGAUUAUUAAAACCACAGUUAAACAGCACACAAGUAAGCUGGGGUGGCCUAGUGGUUCCAGGCAGAGAUGUUCUGACAAAGGAGAACUCUAUUUCUCAUUAUUCCUCUUUUGUACAGAUCAUUUCAAAAUUAGGUUUUCAGUCGUGAACAGUUAACCUUAGAUACUGUAGAAGAACCAUUCAUGUGCACUUUUACUCUGUCAAGUAACUAUAAAAAUGACAUUGUGGAAUUCCAUUUUGAUUGUCUCUCUCUGACUCCAGUUUACAAGUAAAAAGAUUUUUUUUCUCUCAGUACUGUAAAAGUGUCUUGGGAUUUGAAAGUCAAGCUGAAUUUUUUCAUUCCUGUACAUCACCAACAGGAAUCCAGACCCAGCUGACUGUAUAAGUAUAUACUAUCAACAAUCCACAGUGUGUUUGUGUGGCUGGUUGUUGGAAAACCACAUUUUUACACAGAAACUGAACAAAUUUAAUAUGGAGUCAUUGAGAAAUUAUAGAAAUUGAACCUAUU